rnacentral:rRNA from 1 species
CUAUACUGUGAAACUGCGAAUGGCUCAUUAAAUCAGUUAUCGUUUAUUUGAUAGUACCUUACUACUUGGAUAACCGUGGUAAUUCUAGAGCUAAUACAUGCUAAAAACCCCGACUUCGGAAGGGGUGUAUUUAUUAGACAAAAAACCAAUGCCCUUCGGGGCUCCUUGGUGAAUCAUGAUAACUUAACGAAUCGCAUGGCCUUGAGCCGGCGAUGGUUCAUUCAAAUUUCUGCCCUAUCAACUUUCGAUGGUAGGAUAGUGGCCUACCAUGGUAUCAACGGGUAACGGGGAAUUAGGGUUCUAUUCCGGAGAGGGAGCCUGAGAAACGGCUACCACAUCCAAGGAAGGCAGCAGGCGCGCAAAUUACCCAAUCCCGACACGGGGAGGUAGUGACAAUAAAUACUGAUACAGGGCUCUUUUGGGUCUUGUAAUUGGAAUGAGUACAAUUUAAAUACCUUAACGAGGAACAAUUGGAGGGCAAGUCUGGUGCCAGCAGCCGCGGUAAUUCCAGCUCCAAUAGCGUAUAUUAAAGUUGUUGCAGUUAAAAAGCUCGUAGUUGAACCUUGGGCCUGGCUGGCCGGUCCGCCUCACCGCGUGCACUGGUCCGGCCGGGCCUUUCCUUCUGGGGAUCCCCAUGCCCUUCACUGGGUGUGGCGGGGAACCAGGACUUUUACUUUGAAAAAAUUAGAGUGUUCAAAGCAGGCCUUUGCUCGAAUACAUUAGCAUGGAAUAAUAGAAUAGGACGUGCGGUCCUAUUUUGUUGGUUUCUAGGACCGCCGUAAUGAUUAAUAGGGAUAGUCGGGGGCAUCAGUAUUCAAUUGUCAGAGGUGAAAUUCUUGGAUUUAUUGAAGACUAACUACUGCGAAAGCAUUUGCCAAGGAUGUUUUCAUUAAUCAGUGAACGAAAGUUAGGGGAUCGAAGACGAUCAGAUACCGUCGUAGUCUUAACCGUAAACUAUGCCGACUAGGGAUCGGGCGAUGUUAUUAUUUUGACUCGCUCGGCACCUUACGAGAAAUCAAAGUUU